rnacentral:rRNA from 1 species
UACGGGGGGAGCAAGCGUUGUUCGGAUUUACUGGGCGUAAAGGGCGGGUAGGCGGCCACCGCAAGUCAGUUGUGAAAUCUCUGGGCUUAACCCAGAAAGGUCAACUGAUACUGCGGGGCUAGAGUGCAGAAGGGGCAACUGGAAUUCUCGGUGUAGCGGUGAAAUGCGUAGAUAUCUGGAGGAACACCGGUGGCGAAGGCGGCAUUCUGGACCAUAACUGACACUGAGAGACGAAAGCCAGGGGAGCAAACGGG